CGCUCCCCGGGAGGUGUGGUCACCGGCGAGCUGCGGCCACCUCCAUCGCCGGGGAUCGUUAUAAAACAGGUCAGCAUAAGACACCAUCGCCCAGGCGACCCAGCCAGGACUGAUCACACAUCAGAAGCUGGCCUGCAUCCAGGGAUCCACUCCCCUUCAGCCUUCCACUACUGCUGUGUGACCAUGGACCUUCAAGUGACCUGCAGGACCUCCAAGGCCUAUGAAACUGCUUUGGACAAUGCUUAUAGACCUUGUUGGGAAUUCCACUUGGGCCUAGGGCCAAGAGAAAUGUAGGCUUUGAGUUACAUGACGGAAACAGUGAGAGGAAAACAAUCUUAGGUGAUCAUUCUUUAUUGGUGAUUCAAAGAAACCUGUGCUCAUAUCCAGAAAUACAAAAUAAUACUGUCAAAAGUUGUUAUAGGCAGUGUGCAAACAUCCAGUUACAAAUACAACCUACUUUUCAGUGGCUCACAUACAGUAAAGUAGCAAAAACACUAAAGAAAAAUAAAACCAAACAUACGGUUUUGUAUGUAUUCUGUAUUCCUAAUGUGGCAAAACUGUUCAAAAGAUGCACAUUUCCUCUAUUAAAAAUUGGAUGUUCACACCCAAACUAAACCCAGUUUCUCUAGUGUAGUCUUGUGUGCCCUGCUGUGGGGCCAGCAUAGCACAUUUUUGCAUUUCACUUUUGAGUUUCCAUGGAAACCAGUAAGGAUCUGAGUAAAGCAAGUUUCCAACUGGUGUGCCUGCUCAGAGCUCUAUUUAUGCUGAGUGUCCACAAAGCUAGUUUCCAACGAGGCUCUUCCAAGCAAACCUGCUCCUCCUUCACAGUACUACCCACCACAAAGGGCGAUUUACCGAUAGCCUUAUGAGUAACAAUAUCAUCAUCCAGAAGGAGCUAUCAGCUGCAGUGGAAGCCUGUUGGAAGGUAGCGCCCAAGAUGACCAAUAGUGGUACCGUGUUGGUUAUUAUUUCACUGAACAGAAGGGAGGCUACAAGAUGAGUGAAUCAAGACUUUUGAUUAGCAUCUAAUGAGACUAUAAUAAUGAAUGGUUACCAAAUUCAAUUCUAAUCUGAAUAUGAAUUUCUGGCUGCCUGUGAAAUCGUUGCCUCCAGCUCCAAAACUUUAUAGGCUGUCUUAUUUAAAAAUUCCUUUAAAGUCUAAUGUGUAGGAUAACAAGAAAAUCGUACUGUUAAUACAUACAUUUACAAACUGUAAAAUCGUACUGCUAAUUCCAUUUGCAAUACCAACCUCAAACACUGGAGGAGAAAGGAGCAAAUGUAAUUUACUUGUAAUUUGCCGAUAAGCUAAUGGAACAGGGUAGUAUAAAAGCCAGCAUACACGUUACCCACCAAUAAGAGGCAUUUGUAGUGGUCAUUUGGGUUAGAUGAAGCUGUUUAUGUUCAUUCUUUAAAGUCAAAGAUAUCCAAAACAUACAGUAUGUUGAAAGGGGUAGUUCAAGUGGGAAAAUUCAAUUAAUUCAGCUAAUUUUCAUAACCAUGUUUUUUUUUUUUUGGGGGGGGGGUCACAAGUGAACUUGUGGUAGUGCUGGUUUACUAAUAUUCACAAAUGACAUCUGACUAAUGGGGUUGCCCUGCUCGGUGAUACAACCAAAUACUAAUGCUAUGAUAGAACACAUCGCAAAAUUAGCAAGCAUACCAAAAUAUGGGAAAAGCACUACAGCAUAUGAGACUAUGAAUUGCACAUGAUUGUGAGGAUGGUCCAAGGCUACAAUGUACAUGUAAUACGAACCCCCUCAAACAACUGAAGUUUGUAGUAACGGAACAAUGAGAAUCAAGUAGAUCCAGUUUCUCCAUAGUGCUUCACAUUCAACAUUCAUAA